rnacentral:tRNA from 1 species
CAAGAUGAAACUUAUUAGUAAAGUAUUUCAUUUACACUGAAAAAAUUUCUGUGCAAUUCAGGAUUUCUUGA